rnacentral:rRNA from 1 species
GCGCGAAGGAUCAUUAUUGAAAUUACCGGCGAGGGUUGUAGCUGGCCUUUCGGGGCAUGUGCACGCCCGAGCCUUUAAUCCAACAUACACCUGUGAACCCAAUGUAAGGGCCCGUAAAAAGGCCCCUACGUCUUUAUCACCAACUCUGUAUUCAUAGAAUGUAAUCCAUAUCUUCGCCUUAACAAGCGUUGGUAAAACUUAUACAACUUUCAACAACGGAUCUCUUGGCUCUCGCAUCGAUGAAGAACGCAGCGAAAUGCGAUAAGUAAUGUGAAUUGCAGAUUUUCAGUGAAUCAUCGAAUCUUUGAACGCACCUUGCGCCCCUUGGUAUUCCGAGGGGCAUGCCUGUUUGAGUGUCAUUAAAUUCUCAACUCCGAUUUGAUUUGUUUCUUAUCGGAGCUUGGACUUUGGAGCGUGCUGGCGUAAGGUCGGCUCCUCUUAAAUGUAUCAGCGGAAUCUAACCUUUGGAUUCUGGACAUCGGUGUGAUAAUAAAAGUUGCGCCGUCGUUCUACUUCAAAGUCCGCUUACAAUGGUCUUUUGACAAACUCUUAUCAAGUUUGACCUCAAAUCAGGUAGGACUACCCGCUGAACUUAAGCAUAUCAAUAAGCGGAGGAAAAGAAACUAACAAGGAUUUCCCCUAGUAUCUGCGAGUGAAGCGGGAAAAGCUCAUAUUUUAAAUCUGGCGGUCUCCGGCCGUCCGAGUUGUAAUCUGGAGAAGCGUUUAUCCGCGCCGACCGUGUUAUAAGUCUUCUGGAAGGGAGCGUCGUAGAGGUGAGAAUCCCGUUCUUUGACAC